rnacentral:rRNA from 1 species
GACGAACCGUGCGAACGUUGUUCGGAAUCACUGGGUUUAAAGGGCGCGUAGGCGGGCUGUCAAGUCGGUGGUGAAAUCGUUCCGCUCAACGGGACAAUGGCCUUCGAUACUGGCGGCCUGGAGGGAGGUAGGGGCAUGCGGAACUUCCGGUGGAGCGGUGAAAUGCGUAGAUAUCGGAAGGAACACCGAUGGCGAAAGCAGCGUGCUGGACCUUUUCUGACGCUGAGGCGCGAAAGCUAGGGGAGCAAACGGG